GGAUGAAGAACGCAGCGAAAUGCGAUAAGUAAUGUGAAUUGCAGAAUUCAGUGAAUCAUCGAGUCUUUGAACGCACAUUGCGCCCCCUGGUAUUCCGGGGGGCAUGCCUGUCCGAGCGUCAUUGCCGCCCUCAAGCACGGCUUGUGUGUUGGGCCCCCGCCCCCCGGCUUCGGGGGGCGGGCCCGAAAGGCAGCGGCGGCACCGCGUCCGGUCCUCGAGCGUAUGGGGCUUCGUCACCCGCUCUGUAGGCCCGGCCGGCGCCCGCCGGCGACCCCAAUCAAUCUUUCCAGGUUGACCUCGGAUCAGGUAGGGAUACCCGCUGAACUUAAGCAUAUCAAUAAGCGGAGGA
rnacentral:misc_RNA from 1 species